CCUACGGGCGGCAGCAGUGAGGAAUAUUGGUCAAUGGGCGCGAGCCUGAACCAGCCAAGUAGCGUGAAGGAUGACUGCCCUACGGGUUGUAAACUUCUUUUAUAAAGGAAUAAAGUGCGGCACGUGUGCCUUUUUGUAUGUACUUUAUGAAUAAGGAUCGGCUAACUCCGUGCCAGCAGCCGCGGUAAUACGGAGGAUCCGAGCGUUAUCCGGAUUUAUUGGGGUUAAAGGGAGCGGAGAUGGGUUGUUAAGUCAGUUGUGAAAGUUUGCGGCUCAACCGUAAAAUUGCAAUUGAUACUGGAAGUCUUGAGUACAGUUGAGGCAGGCGGAAUUCGUGGUGUAGCGGUGAAAUGCAUAGAUAUCACGAGGAACUCCGAUUGCGAAGGCAGCCUACUAAGCUGCCACUGACAUUGAGGCUCGAAGGUGUGGGUAUCAAACAGGAUUAGAUACCCCUGUAGUC
rnacentral:rRNA from 1 species